GAUGAACGCUGGCGGCGUGCCUAAUACAUGCAAGUCGAGCGAACAGACGAGGAGCUUGCUCCUCUGACGUUAGCGGCGGACGGGUGAGUAACACGUGGAUAACCUACCUAUAAGACUGGGAUAACUUCGGGAAACCGGAGCUAAUACCGGAUAAUAUAUUGAACCGCAUGGUUCAAUAGUGAAAGACGGUUUUGCUGUCACUUAUAGAUGGAUCCGCGCCGCAUUAGCUAGUUGGUAAGGUAACAGCUUACCAAGGCAACGAUGCGUAGCCGACCUGAGAGGGUGAUCGGCCACACUGGAACUGAGACACGGUCCAGACUCCUACGGGAGGCAGCAGUGGGGAAUCUUGCGCAAUGGGCGAAAGCCUGACGGAGCAACGCCGCGUGAGUGAUGAAGGUCUUCGGAUCGUAAAACUCUGUUAUUAGGGAAGAACAAAUGUGUAAGUAACUAUGCACGUCUUGACGGUACCUAAUCAGAAAGCCACGGCUAACUACGUG
rnacentral:rRNA from 1 species